UCUUGGCCAGCCUUCUGAAAGGGAGAUUAAUACAAGAUGUUAUCAUGAGUAAGCAUUUUCGCAUGAUUAAAGGUUUACCGGUGUAAGAUGGGGAUGCGUUCCAUUAGAUAGUAGGCGGGGUAACGGCCCACCUAGUCUUCGAUGGAUAGGGGUUCUGAGAGGAAGGUCCCCCACAUUGGAACUGAGACACGGUCCAAACUCCUACGGGAGGCAGCAGUGAGGAAUAUUGGUCAAUGGACGAGAGUCUGAACCAGCCAAGUAGCGUGAAGGAUGAAGGUUCUAUGGAUUGUAAACUUCUUUUAUACGGGAAUAAACGAAUCCACGCGUGGAUUUUUGCAUGUACCGUAUGAAUAAGGAUCGGCUAACUCCGUGCCAGCAGCCGCGGUAAUACGGAGGAUCCGAGCGUUAUCCGGAUUUAUUGGGUUUAAAGGGAGCGUAGAUGGGUUGUUAAGUCAGUUGUGAAAGUUUGCGGCUCAGCCGUAAAAUUGCAAUUGAUACUGGCAGUCUUGAGUACAGUUGAGGUAGGCGGAAUUCGUGGUGUAGCGGUGAAAUGCUUAGAUAUCACGAAGAACUCCGAUUGCGAAGGCAGCUUACUAACCUGUAACUGACAUUGAUGCUCGAAAGUGUGGGUAUCAAACAGGAUUAGAUACCCUGGUAGUCCACACGGUAAACGAUGAAUACUCGCUGUAGGCGAUAUACGGUCUGCGGCCAAGCGAAAGCAUUAAGUAUUCCACCUGGGGAGUACGCCGGCAACGGUGAAACUCAAAGGAAUUGACGGGGGCCCGCACAAGCGGAGGAACAUGUGGUUUAAUUCGAUGAUACGCGAGGAACCUUACCCGGGCUUAAAUUGCAACCGAAUAUGGCGGAAACGCUAUAGCUAGCAAUAGCGGUUGUGAAGGUGCUGCAUGGUUGUCGUCAGCUCGUGCCGUGAGGUGUCGGCUUAAGUGUCAUAACGAGCGCAACCCUUGCCGAUAGUUACUAACAGGUUAUGCUGA
rnacentral:rRNA from 1 species